rnacentral:rRNA from 1 species
GAUGGACGCUAGCGGGAGGCUUAACACAUGCAAGUCGAGGGGCAGCACGUCUUCGGAUGGUGGCGACCGGCGCACGGGUGCGUAACGCGUAUGGAACCUACCCACCGCAGGGGGAUAACCCGCCGAAAGGCGGACUAAUACCCCAUGGUUCCCCGACCCUGCCUGGGGUUGGGGGUAAAGCCUACGGGCGGCGGUGGAUGGCCCUGCGUGCCAUUAGCUGGCUGGUGGGGUAACGGCCCACCAGGGCGACGAUGGCUAGGGGGUCUGAGAGGACGAUCCCCCACACUGGUACUGAGACACGGACCAGACUCCUACGGGAGGCAGCAGUGAGGAAUAUUGGUCAAUGGACGCAAGUCUGGACCAGCCAUGCCGCGUGCAGGAUGACGGCCCUAUGGGUUGUAAACUGCUUUUCCACGGGAAGAACCCUCCGACGUGUCGGAGACUGACGGUACCGUGGGAAUAAGCAUCGGCUAACUCCGUG